rnacentral:tRNA from 1 species
GGGCGAGUGGCGGAAUUGGCAGACGCGCAGGAUUCAGGAUCCUGUGGGCAUUGCGCCCGUGGGGGUUCAAGUCCCCCCUCGCCCA